rnacentral:lncRNA from 1 species
GAGGAGGAUCAUAAAGCUGAGAGCUGUCUGCAUGCAAACGUAUUGCUAUAAAGAAGAUACAUGAAAAGUCCAGUCCAAGGAAAGAUUCUCUGUCCAUGGUGAAACCUGCAGAUGCUUUUGUUUGUGGAUGACUAUGCUGAUUUAAUCUAAUCUCAAUACAUUUCAAUGAAUGGUGCAAGUAGGGCAUCUUCACUAUGCCAACAGAGAAACUGUCAUAACUGCUAUAUGGUAAGAUCAUCAUAUGGAAAGGAUUCUUGGACACUAUAUUUAGAAUCCUAAUCAAUAGAUAUAUUGUUAGAAUCAUUACAUUUCCUGUAUCCAAUUGUUCUCAAAGUAAAAGAUUUUUUCCAUGCUAUUUCCCACCUUCCCAUUCCCUGUCUACCACCUAAGAAAAAGUCCAAAAUGCCAUUAGAAGACUAGAAAGCAUAAGGAAAUAUUUCCAUAUGUAAACCAAUCCUUACUAAUUGAGCAAAUUUUUAUUAUGUUCAAAAAACUGUGCUAGUCCUGGGGAUAAAGGGUCUUAUCCCCCAAGGUGAUUAACUUCUAUUGGGGAUGGGAAACAGAGGGGAAGAUAGAGCAUGCAAACUGAUAAG